GACCUCAAAUCAGGUAGGACUACCCGCUGAACUUAAGCAUAUCAAUAAGCGGAGGAAAAGAAACUAACAAGGAUUCCCCUAGUAACUGCGAGUGAAGCGGGAAAAGCUCAAAUUUAAAAUCUGGCAGUCUUUGAUUGUCCGAGUUGUAAUCUAGAGAAGUGUUAUCCGCGUUGGACCGUGUACAAGUCUCCUGGAAUGGAGCGUCAUAGAGGGUGAGAAUCCCGUCUUUGACACGGACUACCAGUGCUUUGUGAUGCGCUCUCAAAGAGUCGAGUUGUUUGGGAAUGCAGCUCAAAAUGGGUGGUAAAUUCCAUCUAAAGCUAAAUAUUGGCGAGAGACCGAUAGCGAACAAGUACCGUGAGGGAAAGAUGAAAAGAACUUUGGAAAGAGAGUUAAACAGUACGUGAAAUUGCUGAAAGGGAAACGCUUGAAGUCAGUCGCGUUGUCCGGGGAUCAACCUUGCUUUUGCUGGGUGUACUUUCCGGUUGACGGGUCAGCAUCAAUUUUGACCGUUGGAUAAAGUGUAAGGGAAUGUGGCAUCUUCGGAUGUGUUAUAGCCUUUGCUCGCAUACAACGGUUGGGAUUGAGGAACUCAGUACGCCGCAAGGCCGGGAAUUUAUUCUACGUUCGUACUUAGGAUGCUGGCAUAAUGGCUUUAAUCGACCCGUCUUGAAACACGGACCAAGGAGUCUAACAUGCCUGCGAGUGUUUGGGUGGAAAACCCGAGCGCGUAAUGAAAGUGAAAGUUGAGAUCCCUGUCGUGGGGAGCAUCGACGCCCGGACCAGACCUUUUGUGACGGAUCUGCGGUAGAGCAUGUAUGUUGGGACCCGAAAGAUGGUGAACUAUGCCUGAAUAGGGUGAAGCCAGAGGAAACUCUGGUGGAGGCUCGUAGCGAUUCUGACGUGCAAAUCGAUCGUCAAAUUUGGGUAUAGGGGCGAAAGACUAAUCGAACCAUCUAGUAGCUGGUUCCU
rnacentral:rRNA from 1 species